rnacentral:lncRNA from 1 species
AAAAUAAGCUGUGCCUUGUCAGCUGUAAAGAGAGAAGAGCGUGCUGUUCCUCAGGGCCAUAUUCUAAUCUCAGAUGCACAGUGUGCAUUACCAUAUAGCUUAAAAAAGCAGAUAUUUCCAAGAUAUCAUGCAAAGUUGUGUGCGAACCACUCACAGAAUCCAGUAUCCUUCAGGAGAUUUUCAUGCACUCGGAUAUACCCAGCAAUGGCAUAGGCUUCUGAUAGGUGCUCUGUGGUUCUGUGGCAAAGGGGCAAAAAGGAAGAUGAGGAAAGCCAAAGAGAAACAUAGGCACAGGAGAAAGAUGAAGCUGAGUUGGAGCUGGAUGAUUCCAGCAGCAUUUUACUUUGCUAAAACAUAGGGAUGGGGAGAGUAACGAGUCCUGCAAUGAGAGCUGGAAAGGAAAGAUAAUACACUUUGAGAAACCGUGCUAUUUGUUUAUGUGGUUUGGGUUGCUUUUUUUUUUGGUAGUUGUUCUCGUUCCUUGCAACAGGAACAAGUAAUUUGGACCAGUCGAGCCAAAAGUAAUUGGUAUCAACAGCUGACUGGUGUCUGACCUCAGUCUGGCUGCUGGGAAACAGCUGCCAGCAUUGCAGAACCCUAUCCUGACAGCAAGCAGUGGUGAGGAAUCACAGAAACAUGGGGCCAAAAAGGAUCUCAGGUCAUACAGGCAAUGAACAGGUGACUUUUCUGUCUCUCCAGGUUGAAGAUCAAAGUCCAGGAGUCCCAAGAGUCACACCUUGUGUCUGUGGGAGCUUGGAAGGUGUGGAUUUCAAGAGCAGUGGAUGGCAGUGGUUCCUCACAGAGCCCUGCUGCAGGAUGGAGCAAUGGAGAUUCCUGUCAGAAAAAUAUUCAGCACUGUAUCUCUCAUAUUUAUGAUGCAUCAGAAACCUAAGGAAGAUGACACCUAGCAAGCCAUGGACUGCACAUGGAGGAGGACUUCUUUGAUGUGCCUGGAAAGGCUGCUUCAUGGCCAAGGAGCUACACAGGUAAGCUCAAAAUGAAGAAAACAAGACAGGACUAACUACAAUUGCUAGUUUUAUUGUUCACAUGAACCCUGCUCCCAGGUGCCUCACCUCUGAGCCUCUCCAGGUGCUUUGUGCCUUGACAUAUUCUAGAUGCCAGGAUUGCUGAGACCCUGGAGUAAAUCUGUCUUCCUCUCUGAGUGCAUCUGGACUGGCUGAGUUGGAUGAAGAAAAUCUACCAUGAUCCAAGCAA